rnacentral:rRNA from 1 species
AUGUUAAUAAUUAACCAUUUUUUCAUUUGUACAACAGGUAUCGAGCAGCACUCCUCCGGCGAAGAAAAAAAUAGACAAAAGCCAUGGCGCGCGCACGACGACGCGGUCCACCACGGCCCGCUCGCCCGUCCAUCAGCCGGACAGGACGCCCCCGGCGGACUCCUCGUCGACGUGGUCGACCACGAGCGGGUUCCGGCCGAGGAUGGAGGAGAGGAGGUACCUCGCCGCGAUCCAGUCGCCGUCGUCGUCCAUGCCCGAGAACUUGCUGCUCAGUUGCUCCGGGUCUGGCGCUUCCGGGGAUCUGAAGAGAACGAAGAAGAAGAAGAAGAAGAGAGAGAGAGAGAGAGAUGGGGGAGAGCGGACGGGUGCGAUUAA